ensembl:lncRNA
AUGCAAUACGUUCCUUUAAUACAAAGGACAUGGUGAAACCCUACAUCCCAACCCGCACUCUCCGCUCUGCAUUUGCAAAACUACUCGUCCCUCCCUCACUGAGAGCAAAAUGUCACCAGGGGGACAUUGUGGUUUCUUAAACUACAUGCACCUGGAGGGACUAAUCAAUUACAGAGAGCCCUGGCCAACCACAUUACACAAUGAAAGGACCUCCCCUCUCCAAUUAACACAGCUGCUAUGAAGGACACUAAGCGCCACAGAAAGGAGAAGCCACGGGAAAUCAAGUGAGAGGGCGGCAAGACAUCGGAAGAGCAAGCAGGGUGCAACGAGGAGAGGAACGAAACGGACUGGACACCUCACCCAGGAAAGAAACGGAACCGGAAACAAGAAGAAAGGGCAAGACCGAUCAGCAGCAGUGGCUGGUCGAAUUCUUAAAUCCUUUUAGUACUUUGUUCCAGCUGGACUUUUAAUAUUGUAGUUAUUUAUGGGUUUUUAGUUAAUAAUAAAAUCCUCCUUUUAAACCACGCUUUUAAGUCUUGUGAUCCAUGCUGUUCUUCCUCUG